rnacentral:misc_RNA from 1 species
GGUGGUGUGUGCAGUUGCAAUUCCACCCCUUGGAUUUGAGCGAACCUGAAAAAUGAAAUUAAGUACUUUAUUAAAAGAAAUUAGACAUACAAGGAAUUCAUUAUGAUUAAUUAUAACUUGCAAUUAAAUUAAGGAAAUUUAAUCGAACUAUUUGAGGAAAAAAUAAUGAUUAAUUAUAACUUUUGGAUAUUGAUAUAGAAUUAGUUUUAAAUAGAGCUGAA